UACGGAGGGUGCAAGCGUUAUUCGGAAUGAUUGGGCGUAAAGCGUUCGCAGGCGGCUGUUCAAGUCAGCUGUCAAAGACCGGGGCUCAACCCUAGAAAGGCAGUUGAAACUGAACGGCUGGAGUGCGGUAGGGGUAGAGGGAAUUCCCAGUGUAGCGGUGAAAUGCGUAGAGAUUGGGAGGAACACCGGUGGCGAAAGCGCUCUGCUGGGCUUCUACUGACGCUGAGGGACGAAAGCUUGGGGAGCAAAAGGG
rnacentral:rRNA from 1 species